UCUAAGGCCACCCUACCCAGAAUGAGCCUGAUCUCAUCUGAUCUUGGAAGCUAAGCAGGAUCAGGCCUGGGUAGCUCUUGGAU
ensembl:rRNA 5S_rRNA 5S ribosomal RNA